UUGCAGGUUAAUAGUAGCAUCACAAAAACAUACAAACACAUACAUAAUGUACAGAAUGUGACAAAGUCUUUGCACCAAAUCACAUAUUUCCUGAACUGAACGUCAUGUCAAGGGCUGCUGGCUAUAACGUAACACUGAUUUGAGUUGCCAUGUUUCUUUAACCAUUGUUAAUUAACGGGGUCAAUCAAUGCCAUUCAAACACAUAAUGACUACUGAAGCAUCAUUGAAUCUUUCAGUUAAUAAAUUAUACAUUAUACUUUGUUUAAGAACAUGGAUGUUUCAAAAGGGCCUCCAAAGUCAGCUGUAUUUCAGAUGUUCAAAAAUUAUUAGUUGUCCAAGCCGGGCUACGAUCCAUUAGCAUAACAGACAUAGUGAAAAAUUACGGCUAAGCUUCCCAGCUAAAACUAUUGUUAACUUAUUAGCAAUAAUUAUUCCGUUUAUCUAAUAUUUACUAUGCCAGUUGCUUUAAUUAACGACAUAACAUUGCAAAAGUUACUAACCGAAUAGAAUAAAAUGACAUUUUAUUUGUUUAUCUAAGUAUCCGAAAAACUAGCAGCAAUCCUCAUUUGAAAGUAGCUCCUCUACACAUGUGAAUGUCCUCUGAAAUCUUUGUUAUUCUCCUUCAAUAAACUGUUGUCGCAGAUUUACUGAUAUCUCGGUUAAAUGAUUGAACUGGGAUGAACACAUAGUGGAAACAUUUUAGUAUCCGAUCAACCGCAUUUACAGAAGAUAAAACGGAUGCCACGGCUCGUCUUCCGUUUGUUAUGUGUGCAUUUUUCACUCCUCGUGUCCCUCCCACGGUUUCCUUGGCCGCUCCGCCCCGGAGGCGUGACUUGGUGCCGAUUGGCGUGUUCGCCGGAGAGCCGCUCAGGCUGUACUCCCCCAGUCCCGUAGUGCAUCCGUGUGAAGCCGAGUUAACUGGCUGCUCCGGCCCGACCAAUAUGAACAUCUCCCAGAGCCGUGCAGGUCCCUGCGAGUGAGGCGGCGAGGCGAGGCGACGAACGGCGGCGCAACGGUGUCGGGGGGUGAAGGUUCAGCCUGUGGGCAGGAUGGGAGGAGGCUGUGUGAAGAGAAGCAGGCCUCACUAAGACCCCCACCCCCCCGCCCGCGGCCCCAGCCAUGGCCAACCACCUGGAGCUUCUCGGUGAGCUGCAGCAGCUGGAGAAGGUGCCCAGCCUGGAGCGGCUGCGAGCGGCGCAGAAGCGCCGGGCUCAGCAGCUGAAACGAUGGGCUCUCUACGAGAAGGAGAUGCAGAGCAAGAAGCGGCGAGCGGAUAAGCGCCGUCCCCCGACUGCGGCCACCGACGCAUGCAGACGCAUCUCCUUUGCCGCCAGCGUGGCCCUCCUGGAGGCGUCCGCCCGGAAUGACGCCGAUGACGUCCGACACCUGCUGAAGAACAAUGUCAGCCCGGACCUCUGCAACGAGGAUGGACUCACUGCCCUGCACCAGUGCUGUAUUGACAACUACGAGGACAUGGUGAAGAUCCUUCUAGCCCACGGCGCCUCCGUCAACGCUCAGGACAACGAGCUGUGGACCCCCCUGCACGCCUCGGCCACCUGCGGCCACGCCGGCCUGGUCAAGAUCCUCAUCCAACACGGAGCAGACCUGCUGGCCGUGAACUCUGAUGGCAACAUGCCCUACGAUCUCUGCGAAGACGACCCCACCCUGGACAUCAUCGAGACGGCCAUGGCUAACCGUGGGAUCACGCAGGAGAUGAUCAAUGAGACUCGGGCGUCCGUGGAAAGGAGAAUGCUUGGAGAUAUCCAGAACUUGCUCCGGGAUGGCGUGGAUGUCAACCAGCAGGACUCUCAGGGAGCCACGCUGCUCCACAUUGCAGCAGCCAACGGCUACAUCCAGGCUGCAGAGCUGCUGCUGGAGCGGGGGGCCCAGAUGGAUCUGCGCGACUGUGAUGGCUGGCAGCCGCUCCAUGCCGCCACCUGCUGGGGACAGAUGCAGAUGGCAGAGUUACUGGUCUCUCACGGAUCCAGCCUCAGUGCCAAGACCCACUUUGAUGAGACCCCAAUAGAUUUGUGUGAGGAUGAGGAGUUCCGUGCCAUGCUGCUAGACCUCAAACACAAGCACGACAUCAUCAUGAAGUCAGAGCUCAAGCAGAAGACCUCGCUGUGCCGCCGCACCUCCAGCGCAGGAAGCCGCGGCAAGGUUGUUAGGAGGGCUAGCCUUUCGGACAGGAAUAACCUGUACCGCAAGGAGUACGAGACGGAAGCCAUCGUUUGGAGAGGCGGGCGGGAUGAGGAGGAACGGGAACGGGAAUCGGACCAGGAGAACAGUCAGUCGGUCAGAGCUGAGGAGACGACUCCAAAGGACAGCGGGAAGCCUAACGGUUCCGUCUCCACGGCAACGGCAGCUCCAUCCCCUCCGCCCUGCAACGGCGAGCCGUCGGCAGCAGAGCCUCAGAGUCCGGCACCUCCGCAGCCACCCGAGGGGUCCUGGCCCAGGGAGCGCGGCCAGACGCUUUCGGAGCUGAAGAGGCAAAGGGCCGCGGCCAAGCUGCUGAGUUACCCGCUGCUUAAUGGCUACCUGGGUAAUGGCUCCGCGGGGCUCCUUGAGCCCAAGCCGGGCCCCGAGGAUUCCCGCGUUCCUCUGGUGUCCUCCAACGGCAGCGUGGUCUUCUUCACGCCUACCAGCGGAGACCCACCCCUGCUCAGAUUCAAGCAGCCAAUGGAGGAGCCGGAGACCAAGGCCAGUGGGUGCUGCUGCGUCUCGUAACGGCCGGGGCGGAGGGCGCGGCACAGCGGAGACGCCAGGAACGUGGCGACCUGCACGUCUGCGGCUUGGGGAGGCCCCUCCCUGCAGAAUCGCUCCCUGCCGGGAUGAAUGGAAAAAGCCAUUCGUGUGAGGAAGUGGGGUUUGGUUUCCUCUGGGAAGGGGGAGGGGUCCAGCAGUUACAGGAAGUGUAAAUUGCAGGUGGCCAUUGUUCUACAUACUCCCCACAGGAGCUUCAGAACCCUUAACUAGCCUAGAGAAGAGGGUGUGUCCUUUUUUUCUGGAAGCCCCAAGCCCACAGGCUUUUAUUUUUAUACCAGGCCGAACCACGCUGUUUUCAAACAGACCUGUUUGCACGGUAAAUCUAAGACAAACACAGAAGCAGGGAGGGCAAGCAGGGUGCACUGACAGACGCCAGGACGAUUAGGACAAUAUGUUUACGGAGUGCGUGUGUCUGGUGAAGGCCUAUGGCAAAGCAAACGGAUGGAAGUUUUUUUUUUUUUACUUUAUUUUUCUUAGGAGAUAUUUGCUCUUGUGGAAGUACGUGCUCUCUGUCUGGGGAAGGAGCUUUAAGCAGCUUUAGUCUCACGGCAUGCGUGUUUUUUUUUUUGUCGAGGAGAUGUGUAAAUAAACGAAAUAGCGAAGCACUGAAUCGUUGCGUGAGCGAGUUCUGUUACACGGCUGGACUUUUUACACAUUUCACGGUGGCUAUUUUUUUAAUAUAUGACGCCAGGUUUAAAAUGACUACAGGUUAUUCGGGGAGUUGAGUGGAUUGUAUUGUAGUAGUAAGAAAACAUCAGGUUUAUUUCAGUGUCCUAUAUUACAGAAUAUCAGGUAGCACCUUUUAUUACUGCAAAAAAAGAAGGAAAAAAACUGUUGUGUUUGUAUAGUGUUAUUUAUGAACUUGUGUUAUGUAUAGAGGCUACUGUCCAGUGUAACUGGAAAUAGGGUCCAAAGCCGGUAUGUUAUUUAUUGUUUGUUCUAAUCAUUCAAACAAAUUGCCUGGUCUGUUUCUAGAGGAAGUAUGAGACUGUCAUGGAAGAAGCAGAGACCUUGGGUAACGCGUUUUGGCAGUUCCAGUCCAGUCCCCCCACCCACCCCCAAGCUGCCGAAUGUGAACUACAGGCACGAUUGCCAGUCUUCCUGUGGACAAGAGUUUGUGCUGGGGGAAGAGGCUGCCUUUAAAAUUGGCAGGAUGCUCCAGUUCUGUCCCGUGUCUUUUUGCACUUUGCACAUCCUCACUCUGUCACGUGUCAAAGCUGUGUACGUCUGUAUACCUGUUCCUCUGUUCGUCCUCAAAUGAGAUUCUAUACUUAAUGUUGUUGAUAUCAUGAUGGAGACGAUGAUGUUUUGCUCUAACUUUUUUUUUUUCCUUUGGCCACGUGCACAACUGUCAAAGUAUUAGAAUUAAAAUAUAGAGAUACUGUGUAGAUAAGAAUGGGGUUUUUUUUCAGUGGAUAAGAUUGCACUGGUUCCCAUGGUUACAGUAUUGUGUAUGUAUUUGUAAUUAUGGUCAAAAGUUCUAUCAAAGGAAGAGUAAACACAGUCCAGAGCUUCUGGGCUCCUCUGAUUCGUAGUAGCAUCAUGUAUCGUGUAGCCUGAAUGUGACCCUGGAAAUAAAGGUUAAAAGUCCAGUCUUAUUAGAAUUAGGGGAAAUUGUUACAUGGCUUCGGGGCAUUAACGCCUUGAAUCGAUUGCUUCUUCACCCACUGUAACCUUGGCCUGUUUACGUUUAUUGAAGGAUUCAGUAUCGAAGGACGAAUUCCUGACUACUGAAAAUGAAUAUGUUUUCUCAUGGUGUAUUGCAGCUUGUAUUCUUAAAAAAAUAAUUUAAAAAACUACUGAUUUUGUAAUUAUCAGAAAAUACUGAAAGAUACUGGUUGUAUUAACCUAUUUUGAAUAAAUUGUAUAUUUUGCUCA